AGCUCCAAUAGCGUAUAUUAAAGUUGUUGCAGUUAAAAAGCUCGUAGUUGAACUUUGGGUCCGACUGGGCGGUCUUCUCAAUGAGAUGCACUGCUCUGGUUGGAUCUUUCCUUCUGGCUAACCAUUGUGCUAUUAAUUUAGUGCGGUGGGGAACCAGGACUUUUACUUUGAAAAAAUUAGAGUGUUUAAAGCAGGCUUACGCUUGAAUACAUUAGCAUGGAAUAAUAAAAUAGGACUUUGGUUUUAUUUUGUUGGUUUUCAAGACCGAAGUAAUGAUUAAUAGGGUCAGUUGGGGGCAUUAGUAUUUAGUCGUCAGAGGUGAAAUUCUUGGAUUGACUAAAGACUAACUUCUGCGAAAGCAUUUGCCAAGGAUGUUUUCA
rnacentral:rRNA from 1 species